AUUGAACGCUGGCGGCAGGCCUAACACAUGCAAGUCGAGCGGAGCGGCGCACGGGUGAGUAAUGUCGGAGAAACUGCGUGAGGGGGGGGGAUAACUACUGGAAAGUGUAGAUAAUCGCGUAUACUCUGAGGUGAGCCGAGGUGGGAUUAGCUUGUGGGUGGGGUAAAGGCCUACCAAGGCGACGAUCCCGAACUGGUCUGAGAGGAUGAUCAGCCACACUGGAACUGAGACACGGUCCAGACUCCUACGGGAGGCAGCAGUGGGGAAUAUUGCACAAUGGGCGCAAGCCUGAUGCAGCCAUGCCGCGUGUGUGAAGAAGGUCUUCGGGUUGUAAAGCACUUUCAGCUGGGAGGCGUUACCAGCAGAAUAAGCACCGGCUAACUUCGUGCCAGCAGCCGCGGUAAUUC
rnacentral:rRNA from 1 species